UGUGUGUUAAGUGGGAAAGGAUGUGGAGUUGCACAGACAACCAGGAUGUUGGCUUAGAAGCAGCCACCAUUGAAAGAGUGCGUAAUAGCUCACUGGUCGAGUGACUCUGCGCCGAAAAUGUAACGGGGCUAAACACACCACCGAAGCUAUGGCUAGAUGCUUUGCAUCUGGGGUAGGGGAGCGUUGUAUGUGGGUUGAAGGUGUACCGUAAGGAGCGCUGGACAGCAUACAAGUGAGAAUGCCGGUAUGAGUAACGAAAAGAUCAGUGAGAAUCUGAUCCGCCGAAAGCCCAAGGUUUCCUGAGGAAGGCUCGUCCGCUCAGGGUAAGUCGGGACCUAAGGCGAGGCCGACAGGCGUAGUCGAAGGACAACAGUUUGAAAUUACUGUACCACCGUAAUCCGCUAUGAGCGAUGGGGUGACGCAGGAGGGUAGUGACGCGGACUGAUGGAUGUCCGUCUAAGCAGUGAGGCUGGUGUGUAGGCAAAUCCGCACACCAUUAAGGCUGGGCUGUGAUGGGGAGCGAAAAUUGUAGUAGCGAAGGUCAUGAUCUCACACUGCCAAGAAAAGCCUCUAGCCAGGAGAAGGUGCCCGUACCGCAAACCGACACAGGUAGGCGAGAAGAGAAUUCUAAGGCGCGCGGAAGAACUCUCGUUAAGGAACUCGGCAAAAUGACCCCGUAACUUCGGGAGAAGGGGUGCCUCGGUAGGGUGAAUAGCCCGAGGGGGCCGCAGUGAAAAGGCCCAAGCGACUGUUUAGCAAAAACACAGGUCUGUGCGAAGCCGCAAGGCGAAGUAUACGGGCUGACGCCUGCCCGGUGCUGGAAGGUUAAGGGGAGCGGUUAGGAGCAAUCCGAAGCUGUGAACCGAAGCCCCAGUAAACGGCGGCCGUAACUAUAACGGUCCUAAGGUAGCGAAAUUCCUUGUCAGGUAAAUUCUGACCCGCACGAAUGGCGUAACGACUUGGGCGCUGUCUCAACGAGAGAUCCGGUGAAAUUUUAAUACCUGUGAAGAUGCAGGUUACCCGCGACAAGACGGAAAGACCCCAUGGAGCUUUACUGCAGCUUGAUAUUGAAUUUGGGUACGAUCUGUACAGGAUAGGUGGGAGCCGUAGAAGUAGGAGCGCAAGCUUCUAUGGAGGCGCCGUUGGGAUACCACCCUGAUCGUAUCUAGGUUCUAACCUGGUACCCUAAACGGGUACGGGGACCGUGUCAGGCGGGCAGUUUGACUGGGGCGGUCGCCUCCUAAAGAGUAACGGAGGCGUUCAAAGGUUCCCUCAGAAUGGUUGGAAAUCAUUCGAAGAGUGCAAAGGCAUAAGGGAGCUUGACUGCGAGACCAACAAGUCGAGCAGGGACGAAAGUCGGACUUAGUGAUCCGGUGGUACCGCAUGGAAGGGCCAUCGCUCAACGGAUAAAAGCUACCCUGGGGAUAACAGGCUUAUCUCCCCCAAGAGUCCACAUCGACGGGGAGGUUUGGCACCUCGAUGUCGGCUCAUCGCAUCCUGGGGCUGAAGUAGGUCCCAAGGGUUGGGCUGUUCGCCCAUUAAAGCGGUACGCGAGCUGGGUUCAGAACGUCGUGAGACAGUUCGGUCCCUAUCUGUCGUGGGCGCAGGAAAUUUGAGAGGAGCUGUCCUUAGUACGAGAGGACCGGGAUGGACGUACCGCUGGUGCAUCAGUUGUUCCGCCAGGAGCAUGGCUGAGUAGCUACGUACGGACGGGAUAAGCGCUGAAAGCAUCUAAGCGUGAAGCCCCCCUCAAGAUGAGAUUUCCCA
rnacentral:rRNA from 1 species